GGGGGGCUUGUGGAAAAGGUACUCGUGCGAGGGAGGUGGUCGUGCAAAGGGGGCUUGUGGAAGAGGCGCUCGUGCGAUGGGCGCUCGUGCAAAGAGGGGCUCAUGGAAAAGGUGGUCGUGCAAAGGGGGGCUCGUGCAAAGGGGGCUUGUGGAAGAGGUGCUAGUGCGAGGGGCACUUGUGCAAAGGGGGGCUCAUGGAAAAGGUGCUCGUGGUGCUUGUGCAAGAGGUGGUCGUGCAAAUGGGGGCUCGUGCAAAGGGGGUCUCGUGGAAAAGGUACUCGUGCAAGGGGGUUGUU